ensembl:lncRNA
AUCUUUCUCUGGAGAUUGCUCAUCUUGGUGUCUUUUUCAGUAAGCCUGGGACACAGGAGGCUGAUACAGGAGCUUCGAAACUACAAGGUCAGAACUAUAUUGCCAACUCUGGAAAACAAUUGGCUUAAAAUAGCUGCUAACUUGGAUCUAUGGUGAAUGAUAUUUUGGUAGAAUGGCACGGUUACACAAAAGGUGGAAGUUCUUUAUUUAGCCGUUAGAGGUGCCCUGAGCUAGUACCUCACCAGCCUCACAGGGGGUAGGAGCCUUGAGUCUAGAAGUUACAUGUCCUGCACCAUGCAGGAGCACUCCUUGCUGCAUCCCUUGUUGCCAUAUGUCUUGUUGUGUCUCCUUCUGCGUUACCUAGUGCGUACCUUAACCUGGAAGCUUACCUUGUGUUUAAAGAGAGGAAAUGCAGGCACCCGCCUGAUAAAGUCCAUCCCUUUGUGUGCACUCACUUUCUUUAUGGGAGUGUGUCAGGAAAAGAGGCAGACUCAGGUCUGUUAAUGAAUUACAAGAUGACUAUUGAGCUGAUAAUGUGAUGUCAAAAAAUGAGACUUCCUCUCUAGGCCCUGCAGUCCUGUGUCAAACAAUCAAUGAAGACUACCCAAAAAACAAAUGGAUACAGACUAGGCCACAGUGGUGAUCAACAGAAAAGCCAAGAAGCUCAAACAGCACAGCUUAUCUGUCCUAGGAAAAUAAAAGCUGGAAACAUUUUUGACAGCUGACUAUAAAUACACUGAGGAGUGAACAUACAGGAGGGAGACAAACUAUUCAGGGUGAAGGAUGUUCUUGGCACAAAAGCAGGUGGGUAUAACUUGCCUGUAAAUAUUUAGGCCAGAACUCAGAAAAGGAUUUCCAGGCCUCCCAAAUGCCUCCAUUUCUCAUAGGCAACAAAUGAUUCGUUUUGAUGUAGAUCUUUUGUUAGUCAAGGAAAUAAUGAGACAUGAUUGCCCAUGACAGCAGGGUACUGGCAAUGGCAAUCCAGCAGGCCUGUAGGAUCAUUUGUUGCCAAACCCCCUUUAAAAGUACUUUGAAAAUAGGUCUUCAGAGGAUGACUCAGUGGAGUCCAGUUUUACUGUACUUGCACAUCAUUUCAUGGGAAUCUCUUCCAGACAGUUUCUGGAAAGUGAGUGAUUGCCAAAGCCUACGUACUAGACAAAAUGAGGGGGUAGCUUGCAGAUCAUGUGAUCAUUCUUUACGUCAACAAAAAAAAUAUACCUUGGAUGGGUAAAGAUCCCCUUUAUUUAAGACUCUUGGGUAUUUGCUUUGAAAUACGCAGUCCUGGGACAAAUGGGAAAAGGGAGCUGUCUUAUCUAAACUGCAGGAGCUUAUUUUUACUGAGCCUGUGCUUAGCACAGAAGGGAAAGACACUGAGGAUAUGUUCAAGCAUGUAUACAGAAGCUUCUUCUUUUAUUCUGAGGAAAGAAAAUUGAAGCAGUAAAAUAAAAGGAACUGAAUCCUGUGGUUGGGGAUUUGAACUCAGGCUGGUGAGUCAGUCUUGUGGCAUCCAGAAAUAGUCUUUUGUUUCAAGAAAAAAUAUGUGUCAGCAAGGAGUCCUUCCUUCUGGGGAGGGUUUGGGCUACCCCACCAUGUUGUCAGCUGUGGCGUCAAUGCAACAAGGGCAAACUUUGCCAUGACCCCCUGAGAAGCCAAAGGAACGUUAGAGGCUUCCACAGUAUUGCAAUGGGAUAUGGCACAAGGAAUAGAAAAUGGGGUUGCUGAUCCUGUGUGCACUCCCUAUCUUUCAAGGAUGGCAUGUGAAGAGAUUUUGUUCUUCAAAAGUGGAAGAUGAGUAUCGCGUUCUUCUCAGAAACAGUCUGAUUUGUGCAAGUCAAUGAUGUUAAUUUCAGUAGGUUUUUAUGUAAAUAAUAUAUCAUUCCGUGUUAAUAGAGAAGAAUAUUGCAAGAUUGUCAAAAUAAUAGACAUCUUAGGGCAAUAGGCGUUUUAGUAGUUCUCCUCCUUAAGUAUCGUGGCCUAUAUCAUUUUCCUAAUUCAAUGACCAAUGAUUUGAUCUUUCAUUUUCUGUAACCAAGAUACAUGGAACUAAAUC